AGGCCAAUCAAACUGGGAGAUAGCUCGUACUCCCCGAAAUGCAUUUAGGUGCAGCGUCGAUGUUAAGUUUAUUAGAGGUAGAGCUACUGAUUGGAUGCGGGGGAGUCAAAUCCUACCAAUUCCUGACAAACUCCGAAUGCUAAUAAAUGUUUCGCAGCAGUGAGGGCAUGGGUGCUAAGGUCCAUGUCCGAGAGGGAAAGAACCCAGACCAUCAGCUAAGGUCCCCAAAUAUAUGCUAAGUUGAAAUAACGAGGUUUGUCUGCCCAGACAGCUAGGAUGUUGGCUUGGAAGCAGCCAUUCAUUUAAAGAGUGCGUAACAGCUCACUAGUCGAGCGUUCUUGCGCGGAAAAUGAUCGGGCAUCAAGAUAGUUACCGAAGCUUUGGAUCCGCUUAGGCGGAUGGUAGGGGAGCAUUCUAAUUGAGUUGAAGUUGAGUUGUAAAGCUUGGUGGAUUGAUUAGAAAAGAAAAUGUAGGCAUAAGUAACGAUAAGGAAGGUGAGAUCCCUUCCCGCCGUAAGACUAAGGUUUCCUUGAUCUAUGCUAAUCAGAUCAGGGUUAGUCGGGUCCUAAGGUGUAGCCGAGAGGCGAAGCCGAUGGAAAACGGGUUAAUAUUCCCGUACCUGUGUAUACUGCGAUGGGGUGACGGAGAAACGUAAGGACUGCGAACUGACGGAAUAGUUCGUUGAAGUAAGAAGGCGUUGAGAGUGUAGGCAAAUCCGCACUUGAGCUGAUGUACGAUAGUACAGGCUUCUGCAUGCAGGAGCUUGAUAAUGUCCCCAAGUAUGCUUCCAAGAAAAACCUCUAAGCACUAGGUAUAUACAGCCCGUACCGUAAACCGACACAGGUAGUCGAGGAGAGUAUCCUAAGGCGCUCGAGUGAAUCAUGGCUAAGGAAUUAGGCAAAAUGGCCUCGUAACUUCGGGAGAAGAGGCGCUCCGUGUAAAAAUGGAGCCGCAGUGAAAAGGCCCAGGCGACUGUUUAGCAAAAACACAGGACUCUGCGAAAUCGAAAGAUGAAGUAUAGGGUCUGACACCUGCCCGGUGCUGGAAGGUUAAGGAAGGUGCUUAGCGCAAGCGAAGGUAUUGACUGAAGCCCCAGUAAACGGCGGCCGUAACUAUAACGGUCCUAAGGUAGCGAAAUUCCUUGUCGGGUAAGUUCCGACCUGCACGAAUGGUGUAACGAUCUGGGCACUGUCUCAGCCAUGAGCUCGGUGAAAUUGAAGUAUCGGUGAAGAUGCCGGUUACCCGCAGUGGGACGAAAAGACCCCGUGCACCUUUACUAUAGCUUCACAUUGAGCUUGAGUAUAAGAUGUGUAGGAUAGGUGGGAGACUAUGAAGUGGUCACGCAAGUGAUUGUGGAGUCGCCGUUGAAAUACCACCCUUCUUAUACUUAGGUUCUAACCAUUGGAAAGAAUGGGACAUUGUGUGGUGGGUAGUUUGACUGGGGUGGUCGCCUCCAAAAGAGUAACGGAGGCUUGCAAAGGUUCCCUCAGCAUGGUCGGUAAUCAUGCGAAGAGCGUAUUAGUAUAAGGGAGCUUGACUGGGAGACCGACGGGUCGAUCAGGGACGAAAGUCGGCUAAAGUGAUCCGGUGGUUCCGUAUGGAAGGGCCAUCGCUCAAAGGAUAAAAGGUACGCCGGGGAUAACAGGCUGAUCUCCCCCAAGAGCUCACAUCGACGGGGAGGUUUGGCACCUCGAUGUCGGCUCGUCACAUCCUGGGGCUGGAGAAGGUCCCAAGGGUUGGGCUGUUCGCCCAUUAAAGUGGCACGCGAGCUGGGUUCAGAACGUCGCAAGACAGUUCGGUCUCUAUCUACUGUGGGCGUAGGAAUAUUGAGAAGAUCUGACACUAGUACGAGAGGACCGUGUUGGACAAACCUCUAGUGUACCAGUUAUGCCGCCAGGUGUACCGCUGGGUAGCUAUGUUUGGAACGGAUAAGCGCUGAAAGCAUCUAAGCGCGAAGCCAACUUCAAGAUGAGUAUUCCAUUGUCUUCGGACUAAGAGGGUUGUUGUAGACUACGACGUUGAUAGGCUACAGGUGGAAGUGCAGUGAUGUAUGGAGCCGAGUAGUACUAAUUACCCGAAUGCUUCCUUUU
rnacentral:rRNA from 1 species